UACGUAGGGUGCGAGCGUUGUCCGGAAUUAUUGGGCGUAAAGAGCUCGUAGGCGGUCUGUCGCGUCGGUCGUGAAAACCUGCAGCUCAACUGCAGGCUUGCGGUCGAUACGGGCAGGCUAGAGUUCGGUAGGGGAGACUGGAAUUCCUGGUGUAGCGGUGAAAUGCGUAGAGAUCGGGAAGAACAUCGGUGGCGAAGGCGCUCUACUGGACCACAACUGACACUCAGGGACGAAAGCUAGGGGAGCGAAUGGG
rnacentral:rRNA from 1 species